CUUGAGGGCAAGCAAAAGCUAAGUCUGGGGGAGUUGAUAUAACCGGAUUUUCACUGAUUUUAUCUAUGUUUUAGGUAUAGGAUUUUGAGUCUUUAUGUUAUUUCUCGAGUCUUUUUAAUGUCUUUUCAGUAUUCUAUGCAAUGGGACAACAAUAGAGAUAAGGAGACAUUUUGGAGCAAAAGCUAAGGAAAAGGAAGCUAAGGACGAUUUUGGUUCAGGAAUCAGCGAGGAGUGUCGAUCGACACACUCUUGGUGUCGAUCGACACCAGUUUCGGGCCAGCAGAAGUCCAUGACGCUUUCAAGUUUACAAAAGAAGAAAUUUGCCCCAGAAGACUUCCCUAUUUGCAUUAUUAGUCUCUGGACGUUUUUAGGGUUUUAUAUAUAUUGUUUUUAGACCUAAGUUUCUUUGAUCAAGUCUU
rnacentral:sRNA from 1 species